UCGUAGGUGGUUUGUCGCGUUGUUCGUGAAAUCUCACGGCUUAACUGUGAGCGUGCGGGCGAUACGGGCAGACUUGAGUACUGCAGGGGAGACCGGAAUUCCUGGUGUAGCGGUGGAAUGCGCAGAUAUCAGGAGGAACACCGGUGGCGAAGGCGGGUCUCUGGGCAGUAACUGACGCUGAGGAGCGAAAGCGUGGGGAGCGAACAGGAUUAGAUACCCUGGUAGUCCACGCCGUAAACGGUGGGUACUAGGUGUGGGUUUCCUUCCUUGGGAUCCGUGCCGUAGCUAACGCAUUAAGUACCCCGCCUGGGGAGUACGGCCGCAAGGCUAAAACUCAAAGAAAUUGACGGGGGCCCGCACAAGCGGCGGAGCAUGUGGAUUAAUUCGAUGCAACGCGAAGAACCUUACCUGGGUUUGACAUGCACAGGACGCCGGCAGAGAUGUCGGUUCCCUUGUGGCCUGUGUGCAGGUGGUGCAUGGCUGUCGUCAGCUCGUGUCGUGAGAUGUUGGGUUAAGUCCCGCAACGAGCGCAACCCUUGUCUCAUGUUGCCAGCGGGUAAUGCCGGGGACUCGUGAGAGACUGCCGGGGUCAACUCGGAGGAAGGUGGGGAUGACGUCAAGUCAUCAUGCCCCUUAUGUCCAGGGCUUCACACAUGCUACAAUGGCCGGUACAAAGGGCUGCGAUGCCGCGAGGUUAAGCGAAUCCUUUUAAAGCCGGUCUCAGUUCGGAUCGGGGUCUGCAACUCGACCCCGUGAAGUCGGAGUCGCUAGUAAUC
rnacentral:rRNA from 1 species